rnacentral:rRNA from 1 species
CCUACCUAUCGUUGCUUCGGCGGACUCGCCCCAGCCCGGACGCGGACUGGACCAGCGGCCCGCCGGGGACCUCAAACUCUUGUAUUCCAGCAUCUUCUGAAUACGCCGCAAGGCAAAACAAAUGAAUCAAAACUUUCAACAACGGAUCUCUUGGCUCUGGCAUCGAUGAAGAACGCAGCGAAACGCGAUAAGUAAUGUGAAUUGCAGAAUCCAGUGAAUCAUCGAAUCUUUGAACGCACAUUGCGCCCGCCAGCAUUCUGGCGGGCAUGCCUGUUCGAGCGUCAUUUCAACCCUCGACCUCCCCUUGGGGAGGUCGGCGUUGGGGACCGGCAGCACACCGCCGGCCCUGAAAUGGAGUGGCGGCCCGUCCGCGGCGACCUCUGCGCAGUAAUACAGCUCGCACCGGGACCCCGACGCGGCCACGCCGUAAAACACCCAACUUCUGAACGUUGACCUCGAAUCAGGUAGGACUACCCGCUGAACUUAAGCAUAUCAAUAAG